CUUGAUUCAUCUUCCGAUCUCGUCAUCUGUUUGAUUGAUGCUGGUGAUAUUUCGGAGCUGGGUGACGUCGUGCUCGGGCAAAUCUCCACGAAAAGGCUGCGUGUCCCAAUGUUCCACGAGCUUCUAGAAACUCCGUCAAGUACGCUCGUCAGUAGCUGUACGGAAUGUUGACGUUUCUAUAUCAAUCCCGUUGUAAUAGGUCGACAAAAGACGUUUGCG